AUGGCCCACUGGGAGCAGCACAGAGCCAAAGAAACGCCCACCCCCAGCCAAGAAAAGCAGUGGGCCUUAUUCUGUCCCCAGAUUCUAUCUCUUUUCACAGAGCUCACAGAUGCCAGAGUCACCCAGACACCAAGGCACAAGGUGACAGAGAUGGGACAAGAAGUAACUAUGAGAUGUCACCCAGUUUUCGGCCACAAUACUGUUUUCUGGUAUAGACAGACCGUGAUGCAAGGACUGGAGUUGCUGACUUACUUACGCAACCGGGCUCUUCUAGAUGAUUCAGGGAUGCCCAAGGAUCGAUUCUCAGCAGAGAUGCCUACUGCAUCUUUAUCCACUCUGAAGAUCCAGCCUUCAGAAGCCAGGGACUCGGCUGUGUAUCUUUGUGCCAGUGGUUUAGUCACAGUGCUGCAGAAUCACCCACUCCCUGUGCAGAAACCCUUGUGCUUCCUCUUCUCCUCCAGUACCCAGCAGCUCUCAGCAGCCCUUUCUCCUCCUCCCCUAGCACAGGAAGUACAUAGGUUUGGUGUUUCACAUAUCCCUAGGCAAGGCAAGAACAGAUCAUAAGGAUGCAUCACAU